AUGGAGGAAUCCAAAGCUUGUCCAAGAGGGACUCUAAGCCUGCUGGGGAAGCCAAGUGUGUGGUAUCUCUACAGUUUAGAAAGCAAGCUCACUGUUGAAGAGAUGAGACGAAGAGCCAAGCUUGAGCUGAAAGAAGCCAAGACUGGCAGGGAGAAGUCUAAGAAACUCCUAGGAUCAGCCAGAACAACAGCCCCAUCUGUCUAUCCCUUGGUGCCCGGCUGCCGUGAAACAUCUGGAUCCCUGGUGACACUAGGAUGCCUUGUCAAAGGCUAUUACCCUGAGCCAGUAACUGUAAAAUGGAACUCUGGAUCACUGUCCAGCGGUGUGCACACCUUCCCAGCUGUCCUGCAGUCUGGAUUCUACUCCCUCAGCAGCUCAGUGACUGUAUCCUCCAGCAUCUGGCCCAGCCAGACCAUCACCUGCAAUGUAGCCCACCCGGCCAGCAAAGCCGAGUUGAUCAAGAGAAUUGAUGGUGGACCAUCUGUCUUCAUCUUUCCCCCAAAGACCAAGGAUGCACUCAUGAUCUCCCUGACCCCCAAGGUCACAUGUGUGGUGGUGGACGUGAGCGAGGAUGAGCCAGACGUCCAGUUCAGAUGGUUUGUGGACAACAAAGAAGAACACACAGCUCAGACGCAACCCCGUGAAAGGCAGUACAACAGUACCUUCCGGGUGGUCAGUGUCCUCACCAUCCAGCACCAGGACUGGAUGAGGGGCAAGGAGUUCAAAUGCAAGGUCUACAACAAAGGCCUCCCAAGCCCCAUUGAGAGAACCAUCUCAAAACCCAGAGGAAGAGCCCGGACACCUCAAGUAUACACCAUGCAUCCACCUCGUGAACAAAUGUCCAAGAAGCAGGUUAGUCUGACCUGCCUGGUCACCAACUUCUUCUCUGAAGACAUCAAUGUGGAAUGGGAAAGGAACGGGGAGCUGGAGCAGAACUACAAGAACACCCCACCCAUCCUGGACUCAGAUGGAACCUACUUCCUCUACAGCAAGCUCACUGUGGAUACAGACAGUUGGUUGCAAGGAGAAAGUUUUACCUGCUCUGUGGUGCAUGAGGCUCUUAAUAACCACCACACACAGAAGACCCUGUCCCGCUCCCCUGGGCUGGAACUGGACGAGACCUGUGCUGAGGCCCAGGGCGGGGAGCUGGACGGGCUCUGGACGACCAUCACCAUCUUCAUCACCCUCUUCCUGCUCAGCGUGUGCUACAGUGCCUCUGUCACACUCUUCAAGGUGAAGUGGAUCUUUUCCUCGGUGGUACAAGUGAAACAGCCGGUGAUCCCUGACUACAGAAACAUGAUUGUGCAAGGCGCCUAG